rnacentral:rRNA from 1 species
GAUGUCUUGUUUCUACCUUUUGAAAUUGCCGAAAUGGGAAGAGCCUAAACCGAAUCUCUACGGAGAGUCGGGGUUAAGGACCUGCGGAAUCGAGAUUACUCAUAGUCGAAUAGCAUUGGAAAGUGCAGCCGGAGAGGGUAAAAGCCCCGUAGGCGAAAUGAGGAAUCGAGAGGCGGGUAUCCAGAGUACCACAGGACACGAGGAAUCCGGUGGGAAGUCGGGGGGACCACCCCCCAAGGCUAAAUACUACUUGGUGACCGAUAGCGUAUAGUACCGUGAGGGAAAGGUGAAAAGAACCCCGGGAGGGGAGUGAAAGAGAACCUGAAACCCUAUGUUUACAAGCAGUGGGAGCGCAAGCGACCAUGUACUUUUUGUAGAACGGGCCGGCGAGUUACUGUGUGUAGCGAGGUUAAGGUGUAGAGCACCGGAGCCGUAGCGAGAGCGAGUCUCAAAUGGGCGAAUAGUUGCAUACAGUAGACCCGAAACCGGGUGACCUAUCCAUGGACAGGAUGAAGCGGUGGUAAAGCACCGUGGAGGUCCGAACCACACGUAUGUUGAAAAAUGCGGGGAUGAGCUGUGGAUAGCGGAGAAAUUCCAAUCGAACUCGGAGAUAGCUGGUUCUCCCCGAAAUAGCUUUAGGGCUAGCCUCGAUUUAGAUUAUUGGGGGUAGAGCACUGAAUGGGCUAGGGGGCCACAAAGCUUACUGAACCCUAUCAAACUGCGAAUACCAAUUAAUUGAUGAUCGGGAGUCAGACAGUGAGAGAUAAGUUCCAUUGUCGAAAGGGAAACAGCCCAGAUCCACGACUAAGGUCCCAAAAUACACGUUAAGUGGAAAAGGAUGUGCAGUUGCACAGACAACCAGGAUGUUGGCUUAGAAGCAGCCACUCAUUCAAAGAGUGCGUAAUAGCUCACUGGUCGAGUGAAUGUGCGCCGAAAAUAUACCGGGGCUAAACGUGAUACCGAAGUCUGGGGAUCAAGAAAUUGAUCGGUAGGGGAGCAACGCAUACGGACAGAAGCAGAAGCGGGAGCGACUGUGGACUGUAUGGGAGAGAGAAUGCCGGCAUGAGUAGCGAGAGCAAAGUGAGAAUCUUUGCCGUCGAAAGCCUAAGGUUUCCUGAGGAAGGCUCGUCCUCUCAGGGUAAGUCGGGACCUAAGCCGAGGACAAGAGUCGUAGGCGAUGGACAACAGGUUGAUAUUCCUGUACCGUACUUAAGCGUUUGACUGAAGCAGUGACACAGAAGGAUAGACAGACCGGGGGAAUGGUAGACUCCGGCCAAGCAGUGAGGCUGACAUGUAGUGAAGUACGCAUGUUAAGGCUGGGCUGUGAUGGGGACUGAAGAUUAGUAAGGAAGCUGUUGAAUUCACACUGGCGAGAAAAGCUGCUAAGGAGCGAGAGUAUGCCCGUACCGCAAACCGACACAGGUAGGCGAGGAGAGAAUCCUAAGACGAGCGGGAGAACCCUUGUUAAGGAACUCGGCAAAAUGACUCCGUAACUUAGGGAGAAGGAGUGCCUCGAGAGAGGCCGCAGAGAAUAGGCCCAAGCGACUGUUUACCAAAAACACAGGUCUGUGCGAAGUAGAGAUACGACGUAUACGGGCUGACGCCUGCCCAGUGCCGGAAGGUUAAGGGGAAGUGUUAGGGCAACCGAAGCACGGAACUUAAGCCCCGGUGAACGGCGGCCGUAACUAUAACGGUCCUAAGGUAGCGAAAUUCCUUGUCGGGUAAGUUCCGACCCGCACGAA